rnacentral:rRNA from 1 species
CGCCCCUGGUGAAUCAGUGAUACUAACCAUCCUGAAGCGUCCUUACGCCCCUUCGGGGGCCCUGGAUGUGGAUGCAUGGGACCUGAUCUGGUAGUAGCCAAGCGAU